rnacentral:pre_miRNA from 1 species
AUAUUACUCCCUCCGUCUCAUAUUAAGUGACUUUCUAUUACGUGUAUCUAGACGCUUUUUAGGCAUAGAUACAUCCAUAUUUAAGCAAAUUUGAGUCACUUAAUAUGGGUCGGAGGGAGUACUUU